rnacentral:rRNA from 1 species
UACGUAGGGGGCAAGCGUUGUCCGGAAUCAUUGGGCGUAAAGAGCGCGUAGGCGGCCCGAUAAGUCCGCUGUGAAAGUCAAGGGCUCAACCUUGAAUGCCGGUGGAUACUGUCGGGCUAGAGUCCGGAAGAGGCGAGUGGAAUUCCGAGUGUAGAGGUGAAAUUCGUAGAUAUUCGGAGGAACACCAGUGGCGAAGGCGGCUCACUGGACCGGAACUGACGCUGAGGCGCGAAAGCGUGGGGAGCAAACAGG